rnacentral:rRNA from 1 species
UACGUAGGGUGCAAGCGUUGUCCGGAAUUAUUGGGCGUAAAGAGCUCGUAGGCGGUUUGUCGCGUCGAAUGUGAAAAACCCGGGGGCUCAACCCCCGGGCCUGCAUUCGAUACGGGCAGAUUAGAGUUCGGUAGGGGGAGUCUGGAAUUCCUGGUGUAGCGGUGAAAUGCGCAGAUAUCAGGAGGAACACCGGUGGCGAAGGCGGGACUCUGGGCCGAUACUGACGCUGAGGAGCGGAAGCGUGGGGAGCAAACAGG